UAAUACGGAGGGGGCAAGCGUUAUUCGGAUUUACUGGGCGUAAAGGGUGUGUAGGCGGUCGUGCAAGUCUGGUGUGAAAUCUUCACCACUCAACGGGAAGAGGUCACUGGAAACUGCAUGACUUGAGUUUGGUAGAGGCUAGCGGAAUUCCUGGUGUAGCGGUGGAAUGUGUAGAUAUCAGGAAGAACACCUGUGGCGAAGGCGGCUAGCUGGGCCAAUACUGACGCUGAGACACGAAAGCGUGGGGAGCAAACGGGAUUAGAUACCCCGGUAGUCCACGCCGUAAACGGUGCACACUAGGUGUAGGGGGAUAUCGACCCCCUCUGUGCCGACGUUAACACAUUAAGUGUGCCGCCUGGGGAGUACGGCCGCAAGGUUG
rnacentral:rRNA from 1 species